rnacentral:rRNA from 1 species
GAUGAACGCUGGCGGCGUGCCUAAUACAUGCAAGUGGAACGCUGAAGCUUGGUGCUUGCACCGAGCGGAUGAGUUGCGAACGGGUGAGUAACGCGUAGGUAACCUGCCUCUUAGCGGGGGAUAACUAUUGGAAACGAUAGCUAAUACCGCAUAAAAGUCGAUAUCGCAUGAUAUUGAUUUGAAAGGUGCAAAUGCAUCACUAAGAGAUGGACCUGCGUUGUAUUAGCUAGUUGGUGAGGUAACGGCUCACCAAGGCGACGAUACAUAGCCGACCUGAGAGGGUGAUCGGCCACACUGGGACUGAGACACGGCCCAGACUCCUACGGGAGGCAGCAGUAGGGAAUCUUCGGCAAUGGGGGCAACCCUGACCGAGCAACGCCGCGUGAGUGAAGAAGGUUUUCGGAUCGUAAAGCUCUGUUGUAAGAGAAGAACGAGUGUGAGAGUGGAAAGUUCACACUGUGACGGUAACUUACCAGAAAGGGACGGCUAACUACGUG